UCAAAAAUUGAAAACCAACAAAGUUUCAGUCAAAGAUUGUUCAUAACUAGGGACCGCAUCCAAAGUCUCCCUUAUAAAAGUUGUUCCUGACAUGAUUAGCUAGUUUACCUCGUAUAUGUAGUUUAAUUCGUAUAUGUCACUCUUAAGACUUGUUUAAGAAAUAAUUUAAAUAAACAAAGAAGUGCAGAAGAAAAAAAAAUAAUGUGCAAUUUUUUUUUUUUGUCAAUAAUUAACUAAUUCAAUUUAGUACUGUAGAUCUAACUAAGUAUAUAUGUACAAUGUUUAAAUAAGCAAAGUUUCUUCGUUGAGUAAGAAAUGAGAAAUUUAUGAAAAGUUACAAUCCCAACACGUAAUAGUGCAUCUACACAACUUCAUCAACUGACAUUUUUCAAUCGAAAGACAAAGACGUUUUUCGACCGAAAGACCAAGAUGUUGUUUUUCGACCAGGAGACCAAGAUGAUGUUUUCGACUGGAAGACCAAGAGCUAACCAUUGAACAUAAUACACAUGCAAAAACCAUGUUUCAACUUUUGAGUUUGGCAGUUGCAAGGAAAAAGUAGGAACACGCAACAAGUACAUAAAUACAUAUUCCAAUGCUGGUAGCAUUAUCUUUACUUAACUGACAACAAUGUGUAGUUUAAUUAGUUUAUAAACGACCACUAAUUUGUUUGUAGUGGUCAUUGUUAAUCACAAACUAUCACAUUAAUUAUAUAUAAUCACAUACCUCCUCUUUCACAUGUUUCUUUUGUAUAUAAUCCAACCAAGAAAACAACAACUUGUAAAUAAUUCAACUGUAUAGAAACAGAUCAAAGAUACAAAAUCUUCUUUUAUACGAUUACAUAUUUUAUUUUAAAGAGACAAGAAUUAAAUUAAUUUUUAAAAUGAGGAAACGAAGAAGAAGCAAGUGAAGGAAGGGGAAUGAAAUCCAAACUCUUUUUUUUUUCUGUACAAUUAUGUUUAUGUUUCUCGAAGCUUGAUUGAAUUAUUCAAUCCAAUAACUAAAAAUGAAAACAAGUUAAAAGGAGUUGAUAUCUAGAGAGCCAAUUUUGAUAACUUAUUUUGGUGGUCAAAUUUUGUUACCAUUUAAUAUGCCAACAAUUCACGUGGAAAAUGGCAAACCCUAGCUCGUGCAUUUUAUUGGGGAAAUUUGUACAAAGACUAUCUGGAGUUUUGCUGUAUACGCAUGUACCUCCUAUUUUUUGUUUUUUGUUUUUAAAUAAAUGAUAUUAUCUACAUUAAGGGGUGAGCUAGCUUCAAUGGGUUCCAGUAAUGUGGUUCAAAUUCGCAUUUGACGAGAAUCAAACCUAAAAUCUCCCACUUAUAAAGAUGAUAUUGCAAAGUAUCACCUACCGUUAAAAAAUUUGUUAGUUAAUAUGUACAACAUAAGACUUAAAUUUUUCUGCUGAUGUGAUGCCACGUGGUCAAUAAGUACUUAGUAAUUAAAAUAUUAUAAAUUAAUAUAAUAAUAAAAAACCCAUUAUAUAUUUCUUAUUAUCUUGAUAUGAAACCAACAAUUUUUGGUGAAACCACCUCUAAAUUUAAAAGAAAACUAAUGAAAAGGGUUUGAAAACUUUGAGUUUUAACAAGAUAAAGGAUAAAGUGAAUAGAACCAGGUUUGACUUUUUAGUGUAAAAUUAUGAUUUUUCGUUAAAAUGAACAGUACUGCGAGCUUUUCGUUAAAACAUCAUAAAUUUAACUUAGUCGCAUUUGAUCGACUACUUUUGAAUCUCCAAGCCAUACUCCACAAAUCUGGAUCGAGUGAGAGAGUGAAGGAGGGGGGAAGAGGGGGGAUGAUGUGGUUGAGUUGAAGCGUGUGCGGUGGGAAGCUGGUGAAGGGAGACUAGGAGGGGUAGCUGCAGAAGCUGCUACCACUAUUAGGGUUCCUUCUUUUUUUUCAAAAUUAAGAA
rnacentral:lncRNA from 1 species